GAUGCACACUGGCGUAAAUCAGGAUUCAGAUGGAAUAUUGAAGUGUUUUUUGUGCACCUGUGCCCCCCUUCUUCUAAGCUCACUGAGGACGCAGCAGUGAACAGAACACAUGAAGUCUCUGCCCUCGUGGAACUUACAUUCUAGGGGAGAGUCAUUCAACAAACAGAUUAGCAAGAAGAAUCUUCCAGCAAACUGCAGAAUGCUCUUUCUGUUUCUCAUCCUCCUCCUCGUGCAAGCCAUCCUGUAUAUCAGGAGGUGACACUUAACUGGAACCCUGAUGGGAGGAAGGAAGGGAACCCCAUGGGCCGCUGAGUGUGGUUUGACAGCCCAGGCACCUGCACGCAGACUUUGAUUUUGUUACUUCCUUCAGUGAAGCUC